UACGUAGGGGGCAAGCGUUGUCCGGAAUUAUUGGGCGUAAAGAGCGCGUAGGCGGUCCGGUAAGUCGGCUGUGAAAGUCAAGGGCUCAACCCUUGAAAGCCGGCCGAUACUGUCGGACUAGAGUCCGGAAGAGGCGAGUGGAAUUCCCGGUGUAGCGGUGAAAUGCGCAGAUAUCAGGAGGAACACCUAUUGCGAAGGCAGCUCGCUGGGACGUAACUGACGCUGAGACGCGAAAGCGUGGGGAGCAAACAGG
rnacentral:rRNA from 1 species